AUGACCACUCUUCGUAAGAAGAAAUUGGUUACAUCAAAACCUCUCGGCCACCGAGCUCAUGAUAUUAUGGGACCAUGCAAAGCAUACAAGGAAGGCGCUCAAGUGGGUUCUUUGGUCAAAAGUGGCUUUCAUGAUGUUGAUGAGGAUAGCAAAAGUUGCUCAGAGGUGUUUAAGAAUUCUUUACGCGAACCAAUGGAACAACUUGUCGGACAGUUUGACAGAAUUGGUGCCAAGUACUGA